rnacentral:rRNA from 1 species
AGAGAGAGACAUGCGCGCAUAUCAAUAAGCGGAGGAAAAGAAACUAACUAGGAUUCCCUCAGUAACGGCGAGUGAAGCGGGAAGAGCUCAAAUUUGAAAUCUUCAAGGUUCUACCUUGACGAAUUGUAGUUUAAAGAAGUGUUUUCUGUUGGAGUUUUGGUAAAAGUUCUUUGGAAUAGGACAUCAUAGAGGGUGAGAAUCCCGUAUUUGACCAUUAUUUCCAACUUUGUGAUACACUUUCAAAGAGUCGGAUUGUUUGGGAAUGCAGUCCGAAGUGGGUGGUAAAUUUCAUCUAAAGCUAAAUAUUGGCGAGAGACCGAUAGCGAACAAGUACCGUGAGGGAAAGAUGAAAAGAACUUUGAAAAGAGGGUUAAACAGUACGUGAAAUUGUCAAAAGGGAGGCGUUUGACACCAGUGUUGUUUUCUCGAAAAUCAAUUAAAAAAGGCCGGAUUUUGUGUUGUAUUGACCUUAAAAGCUUUCUUCACUCUUUUCUUGUCUUUUUUAAUGCACUUUUCGUUUAACAAGUCAACAUCAGUUUCUUUUGUUGUAAAAGGGUCAUUGGAAGGUGGCUUUCUUUUCGGAGAAAGUGUUUAUAGCCUUUGAUCUCCUGCAAUCGGAGAGACUGAGGUCUGCAGCGUAGACUCCUUCGGGGUUAGAUACAUUUGUGCUAAGUUAUAGCCUUUUCAUAGACAACUUGUUGACUAUGAUCAGUCAUGUAGCUUACUCGCUUAUGUCAUUUUACCUACGCUUAGGAUGUUGACAGCAGUAUAGACUGU